CUUCGACCUGAGAUCGGACGAGAUUACCCGCUGAAUUUAAGCAUAUUACUAAGCGGAGGAAAAGAAACUAACAAGGAUUCCCUCAGUAACGGCGAGUGAAGCGGGAAUAGCCCAGCACCGAAUCCCCCGGCCCU
rnacentral:rRNA from 2 species